CGCUGGCGGCAUGCCUUANACAUGCAAGUCGAACGGCAGCACGGGAGCAAUCCUGGUGGCGAGUGGCGAACGGGUGAGUAAUAUAUCGGAACGUGCCCAGUCGUGGGGGAUAACGUAGCGAAAGCUACGCUAAUACCGCAUACGAUCUAUGGAUGAAAGCGGGGGAUCGCAAGACCUCGCGCGAUUGGAGCGGCCGAUAUCAGAUUAGGUAGUUGGUGAGGUAAAGGCUCACCAAGCCGACGAUCUGUAGCUGGUCUGAGAGGACGACCAGCCACACUGGGACUGAGACACGGCCCAGACUCCUACGGGAGGCAGCAGUGGGGAAUUUUGGACAAUGGGCGCAAGCCUGAUCCAGCAAUGCCGCGUGCAGGAUGAAGGCCUUCGGGUUGUAAACUGCUUUUGUACGGAACGAAACGGUGAGCUCUAAUACAGUUUGCUAAUGACGUGUACCUGAAGAAUAAGCAUCGGCUAACUCCGUG
rnacentral:rRNA from 1 species